GUGCCAAGGUUCAGCCAGUAGGGGGACCUCUGGACCCACAGGGCGCCACAGUCUUUGUGAUUCAAAACAGGCCCCCUACCUCUCCACCCCCUACUAUUUCUCAGUGUGGUAAACAAAGGCCCUGAGGGGAAGUCUUUCCAACCCUGACGGUCAGGGCCAAGACCAGAGAGGACACCCGACCCUAAGAGGUGGCCUAUGGCUGUUCAGAGGAUGGAGAGAAUGAGCAUCAGGCCAGGGCAGGAGCAUUUGUGUCUCACUUCCCCAUCUGUCUGUGUCACUGUGAGUCAUUGCCAGGUGCUCCCAAUGACAUGGUGAUCCUGGCGUCUGUCCCAGGGCCACUGACACUGACAGGAGCCGAGUCAGCUCUUGGAGGCCACAGAACCUGCAAGAGAGAUUAUGAGAGGUGCACGUGGAGUUGUUAAAGGUCCGUGGAGCUGCUGUAAGAGUCUACCCUUGGCCAUGAGCUCUUGGACAGAUGGUAAGUGCUGUCUUGUUCCAGCACCAGCGAAUGUGGUUGUUGUUCAGGAUCCUUUGGGAUCUUUGCCUGUGGGGAGCCCUCCCAGCAGGGGAACUGCCUCUCCCGUGUGUCCUGAAGACACCUGGACUUCAGUCUGCUCCCGGGGAUUCAUCCUUCCCACCAGAGCACCACCAGGAGCCUGAGAGGCAGGGAUAGUUCAGGUCCCCAUUGCGUGGAUGACAUCAUGAUCCUCCAUAUGGGCACCUCUGUGCCGUCCCAGAGAGCAGCAUGUCAGAACUCCGCCCCAUGGGAUGGUUGAGUUCCCAGUAGCAUAUUGACUGCACUGCUCUGGUGGUGGAGAAUGCACCAUGGCCCCUCCUGCCUCAUCCUGGGAGUGAGUCGUCAGGUAAAGAGGGGGCACUGGAUGGGAUGAUCCAUGACGAUUAUCAAGGGGGGAGAGUUUCUACUACACAACUAGGGUGAGAAUGUAUGGAUUCAGGAGAUCCCCUAAUUUCCCCUGGGUCUGUGAUCACAGUCACUCAGGCUCUCUGUCUGCAGUUAACACCCAGGCCCAGACAAGCAGGGAAGCCUAGUUCUGUCAGCCCUAAAUCCACUCCUGAUUCUCCCUGUGCAGAGAUUCCUGGAGAGCUAGGUAGGACCAGUACUUGAGGACCUUAGAUCUGGGGAUCUGGACCGGACCUGCUCACGGUCCACAGACAUCCUGGGCCUGGAGGAGAUGUAACACAGACUGGAAAGGAGUUUGUGUCUCACUUCCCCAUCUUCCUGUGUCACUGUGAGCAUCACUACUACUGUCCCACACCUGACAGUAAUAGUCAGCCUCGUCCUUGGCCUGGGCCCCGCUGAUGGUCAGGGUGGCCGUGUUCCCCGAGUUGGUGCCUGAGAAUCGGUCGGGGAUUCCUGAGGGCCGGUUGCUAUCACUAUAGAUAAUCAGCACAGGGGUUUGGCCUGACUUCUGCUGGUACCAGUGAACACUUUUACUUUCAAUGUUGUUUCCUCCACAGGUGAUCCUGGCCGUCUGCCCCAGGCUCACCGACACUGAGGGGGGCUGAGUCAGCACAUAGGAGGCUACGGAACCUGCAAGAGAGAAAAGGAGAGGUGUGAUUCCUGUGUGAAUUUCCCAGAAAACUGGAGGCGAAGCAUUAGCCUUUUUGUAGCUGACGUUGAGGCUUAUCUGCUGGGUCACCUUGUUGACAUAUGACAGUGACCACAUUGCAAUGGCUGCACCUUUCAUCCUCCUUCAGCUUCUGACUCCUGUGCCAGCAUUUCGAUCAUUCAGACUGAAUUUGGAUUAGAGUCUGCGACAUGGUUCUUACUGGAAUCUCCAGCCUUCUGUCCUGUCCUGUAGCGACUAGACCUGCCGCCCCACAACUGCGUGAGCCACUUCUCAUUGUCUCACAUCCGGAUGGCCAACGCUUCCUGCGUGAUAGAAGCCCUGAUGCCAGGCUCACCCCAUCUCCAGGUGCUUUGCCAGGUGAUCUCUGCUGUCCCCUGGUGGCCACUCCACACUGACUCUGGGAGGCUCGGGGAACUCCUUUGUCCAGGUGAUGAAGAACCCACAGCUCAGAACCUGAUUCUCUGAUCCCUUGACUGCUGGCUCCAGAGGAGGAAUUGCUCUUUUCUCCAAUGCCCUGUCAGCCUCAAGACCAGGCAGGAGGAGAUCAGAUUAUCCAUGAAAACAAGAACAGGCUCAUCUGAGGAAGACAAGGAACUCCUAAUUGACAAACCAGUGGUGAGAUCAGAACAUGUGACUGAAGAGGAAGACGGUAGCCUCCAGCAUCCUGCAAUCAGCUAUCAGGUCUCACAUCCGGAUGGCCAACCCUUCCUGCGUGAUAGAAGCCCUGAUGCCAGGCUCACCCCAUCUCCAGGUGCUUUGCCAGGUGAUCUCUGCUGUCCCCUGGUGGCCACUCCACACUGACUCUGGGAGGCUCGGGGAACUCCUUUGUCCAGGUGAUGAAGAACCCACAGCUCAGAACCUGAUUCUCUGAUCCCUUGACUGCUGGCUCCAGAGGAGGAAUUGCUCUUUUCUCCGAUGCCCUGUCAGCCUCAAGACCAGGCAGGAGGAGAUCAGAUUAUCCAUGAAAACAAGAACAGGCUCAUCUGAGGAAGACAAGGUAAGGCCCAUCUGAAGUAUCACUGCUCAUAUCUCUGGGGACAGGGGUGGUCAUGGGUGUGGUUCUUGGGCUUAGCAGUAGGGACACAGGACGCAGCAACAGCCCUUACUGGUGCUGGCUGCUGAUGCAUCAAAAUAGGACCAUUCCAAAGACAGAGACAGGAGAACUCUCACCCAGAAAACAUUUAUCAAGACCCACUUUGGUCUGACACAAUCAUCCUGGGAGAUGAUUGUGAACAAGACACAGAUCUUUCUCAGAGGUUCCUUCUUGUGGUUGGAGCAGGAGAGUGGUCACAGUGGCUCUGGUGGCACAGCAGAGUCUCCAGCCCCUUCUACCUGUAUCUUAUCUUCAUAUGCAUUUAGAAUAUACUGAUGAACAUGUGUGUACAUACAUAGCUAUGUGUAUCUGCUGCGUGUGUACGUAGAGUUCUCUGUGUAUGAGUGUGUUCCAGGAGUUCUAGACUCUGACUGGGUGCCCAAAACAUGCUUGAUGGAAUUCCUGUUUGGGUGUAGUCAUGUAGUUCCAUUUUAUCACCAAUGACAAUGUGGGUGCAGUAACCAUAAUGAAAUGGUCAUGCAGGCAGGAUCUAGGGCAGCACGUGUGCAGAGAGUAAGAAGGGGGAGCAGGAGAGGGAUCCAGGCCAUGGAGGAGAUGCCCGAGAGCUCUGCCUCCUGAGGCCCCACAACAGGGCAUGGCUGUCCCAGACCCUCUUAUCCUUCAAGGGCAGAGCCUGCUCAGGUGGAAAAGGACCAGCCCUCAUUAGCCCUCUAACCAUGCCAAUGGAGGUUUUGACUGAAUCAGGACCCAUAAAAACAGAAAAUAGGGUUCCUACCCCACAUUCCCACAAUCACUGCCACAAACAAUUUUCCAGGUGACCGUCACUAUUUUAGGGCCUCCAUAGAGGGUGCUGCCAAAGGUCUGCCCUGUGACAUCACUGGGUCAAUAUUCAUUCAAGCCUCUCUCCCUCUCUGUUGUGCCCAAUGUCAUUACAGACAGAUGCAGCUCUGCCUAGGGGGGCAAUAAAUCCUUUAUUCUGGGAAGAGUCUCCUAUGACAGUUCAAUGUCUGUCACAUGGUUCUUCUUCUGGCCCAUGUCUCUAGGGUUUGCUUUCUCAGCUGACGUCAGAGGGUCCAUCAAGGUCCUGAGGCUGUUAGUAUUGGUAGAAAUGAAAGUCACAGAGAAAGGCUGGGUUCUGCAGGAAUGUUCUACACAGUUGGAUGCUGAAGCUUUUGACAGUGUUCCUGGCCUGGCCUCCUCUGCAGGGCCUGGGCAUGGGGCCGAGGGAGUGUCCUGGGGUAUGCAGUGGGGAUAGCCAUGGUGCAAGGUGGGCAGAAAAAGGAGAAACAUGGAAUUGAGGGGCAGAAAAGAUCAGGGAGAGAGAGGGGCUGCCUAAGAGAGGGAGGGAGAAGUCUGAACAUGCUGGUGGAGGUGCUGGACCAGGGGCGGGCCAGGCUCUGUCUCUCCCUGGAGCUCGGUCCAGCAUGGGCACCUGUUCUCUGGGCUCCCUCCAUCUGCAACCUAUCCCUCCACGCUCUCGGGGUGACCCCCACAUGGGCAGGAGGUCCUGUAGGUCUGGUCCUCAGACACUACAUCUCCCGUCCCUGCCCACGGAGAGGUCUGUGUCUUCCCUUUGGUGUUCAAUGAACUUCUUCAUUUUCAUUUUGUCCUUCAUGUUUGGAUCUGAAGACUGAGACCACCUGUGGCAGGGUGUCUAUUAGAUCUAGAAAUCCUUGCCCAGAAGGGUAAGGAUGUAAAUAAUCACUCAGGCACUAGAAAAUGCAUUAGGAGCUAAACAGUUUGCUCCCCUGGGCAAACAUUCUCAUCUGGGUAAACAGACAGCUUAUUAAAUAAAAGUGUACUGAUCAGACUGGUUUGAUGACUACCCCCUUGAGAGGGUCCACCAGUCCUAUGCUGUUAUGUCACAGAAGUGACCCACGUCAGGCUGCUCCUUCCUUGAAAGACCUGCCUCACGCCCCUCAUGUGCACAUCCUGAAACCCUGCACACACUCCCCUCACCUGCCUGAGACGUUCCUGAGACUCUGCCUGGGGGUUUUCUCCUGAGCACUAACGGACUUGGUGUGCAGGAUGAAGUGGUUUUCGGGUGAUCUUUUGGGAAUGAGCACCUGCUGAUGGGCAGGUGCUCGUGCCUGUUCAGGUUGCCAUGGAGAAGACAGAGCCCAGACAGGACUGAGGACUGGCUCCAUCGCUGGGGGAGUGAGAGCAGGGCCAGUCUGUGUGGAAGGCUCUGUCCCGCUGGGUGUGACCAGGGGGAGCUGUGUGAGCCAGGCUGGGGGAGCAGGUUUGGGUCCCCCUUCACCUGUCUGUGUCACUGUGAGUCACUGAAAACUGCUCCCACUGCCAUGGUAGGUGGCAGAAUGGCAGUGAGCUUUGCCCUGGGCCUGGGCCUGGCUUAUGGUCAGGAUGGCCUGGUCCUUGAGUUGGAACUUGAAAAUUGGUCAGGGAUCCCUGAGGGCAGGUUGCUGUAAUGAUAGAUAAUUUCCAGGGGUGUCUAGCUUGGCUUCUGCUGGUGCCAGUGGACAUAUGUACUUCCCAUGUGUUUUCCCCCACGUGUGAUCCUGGCCGUCUCCUUCAUAGUCACUGACAGCGAGGGGGUUGAGUCAGCUUGUAGGGGCCAUGGAGCCUGUGAGACAGAAAAGGAGAGGUGGGCUUCCAGAUCUGGCCCAAUCCCCAGGAGCCCCCCACCUACCUAGCCUGAGCUCCAGGGAUUCUCUGCAAACCCCAGGUUUGCCCUCUCUCUUCAAUCUCGUUCCCAGAAUCCAGUGGGCCUGGCCGGUUGAUGUGGCUUUUGAACAAAUUGAAAAACAAGUCUUUCUCUGCAUAGAGGCAGUCUGUCUGGGCUCACACGGAGCCAGUGAGCACAGUGAGAGGAUUUUACCCCUACAGCUCCUCAUCCUGCAUCAGGGUCAUGAGCAUCCUGCCCCACAGGCAGCCCAUGCUGAGCUCUGAGUCUGGGCCAUGCUUGUCCAUGGCCCUGAGUUGGGGUGGGUGUAAGCUGGGUGCAGCACCUGUGCAGUGGCCAAGGAGGCUGAGGAGGAAAGGUGUCUAGAACAUGGUGGAGGUCUCCCGAAUCUGCUCCUGAGGCCCAAGGCCGGGUAGGAUUCUCUCCUGGCCUCUUAUCCCUUCCUGGGGAGACCUGGAGGUUAUGCAUCAGCCACCUCAGGGGCUGCUACUGAGGAUCUUUGUGGUUUCAGAGAAGAGCUCAGCCCCAGGGGACACAGAGAGGAGGGGGGUCUUACGCAGGCUCAUCCCCAGUUCAGGGGAAUCUGACUCAAUCUCUGGUAUCAUAGUCUGGGCCUGACAUUUGUGUCUGGCACGGGCUAUCAGCACAGAGGAUGGAGGGGGGAACUGUGAUCACAGGGAGAACAGGUGUUUGUGGACAGUGACAGAACUUCAAUCUCGUGAGGGUUCGCUAAGUUCUUGCUGGUGGGAGACAAAGUGCUUGGACCCAUAUUAGAGAAAUAAGCAGUGUGUCCAUGAGCAGAGUCCGUCACACAUAUACCCUGAAAUUUGUACCUGAAAGUGAAGGAUGACACUGUAAGCAAAUGACAAGUGACUGAAAGUCCCAGGUCCUGGUUACUACCCCCCACUGACUAUUAGAAGCCCUGAUGCCCAGACCCUCCCCAUCUGCAGAUGGUUUUGGCAGGCGAUCUCUGCUGCCCCCUGGUGGCCACUCCACUCUUGCUGCUGGAGGUGCAGGGACCUCCCUUGUAAAGUGUAGAUUCAGAACCUACAGCUCAGGUGCUAAUUCCUGCUCCAUGGACUCUUGCCCCGGUGAGGAAUGACCUUUCUAUGCAUGGCUCCUGCCUGCCUCAUAUUCUGGCAUGAGGGGCCCAGAGUACCCAUGAAAACAUGAACAGGCUCAUUUAGAGGAGGAGAGCACAGGUGUCAAUGAUGCACCCCUGCACCUGUCUCUGGCUGGUGGGAGGUCAUGCAGGUGGUACUGCAUCUUGGAGAUGGGGUCAAGGACUCAGGAGAUGGCUCCUAUUGGUGCCAACUGUGGAUGCAGGGCUGAUGUGUUUGGAGGGAUGGUGACUGGAUACUAAUGCCCCAAAGACAGAGACAGAAGAGUAUCCACCCAGCAGAUACUUAUUUAGACCCAAAUUGAUCUGGCACAUAUUCCAUCGUGGGAAUUCUGUACGAAUAAGACACAGUCUGUAUUGAAGAGGGAACUCUGGAGCUGCAGGGGUCGGGGGAGGGGAAGUAACAAGAGGUGAGAUGCGUGGGGGAAUAUUCCAGUGGGUGCAAUAGAGGAGCAGCAGGCAUGGUGGCUAGAGAAUCUCAAAGAACAGGACAACCAGAGGGACCUGGGAUUCCACCUGAGUUCAGGGCCAGUGUUGAGUUUCUCCUGAGGUGAGCAUUCUGGGUACAGAGGCAUGUGGUCAGGUGUGGUAAGAGGCCAUUUCCAGGUACUAAGUCAGUUUCUCCUGGCAGUUUUUGGACACAUAGAGGUCUAAAGCCUUCCUAAAGCCUCAGGUAGACUAGGGUGCUACAUGUGCCUCUGGUCCUGGUGCCCUGUCUGAGGUCCCACGUAGGUAGAUUACCUAUCACUGCUUUCUCCAACAGCCCACUGCUAGCUGAGCUGAGCAGGAGCAUGAAGGGGGGUGCAUCUGAGAGGGAAGGGAGGCUGGGAGAGGGCAUGGGUCCCCAGUCCCUGGAGAGGUAGAGAGAAGAGCAGAGGCUGGCAGGUGCAAGGCAGCAACAGUUACCUGCACCAGGUGAGGAAGGCCGCCCAGGCUGAGAGGGGAUGAGGGACGACCUAAGCCAGAACUUUCCAGGUCCUAAAGGAGAUAGCUUCUUCCUCUCAAGUGCAGUUGCUUGUGGGGGGGUGUUGCUGCAAUUGGCCACAGGGCCACCUGGGACCAAGGAGGUGCCAGCCCAUUCAUUGUUAUGUUGAUGAGAAAGGCUAAAGUGAGAAUCUCCCAAUUAUCAUUCUCCGGAGUGACCUUCUCAUGAUCCUUUAACCUGAAAAAUCUCUGGAAAUCCAACCAAAGAUUGUCUUUCUAGUUCAUUAUGUCAAUCAGUAAAUUUCAGAUGAAAUAUUCCAAUGGUACUUUCCAUACUUUUUUGAGGAGAAAAUGAUGUUCUUUCCUGUGUCUCCCCACUCCCAUGAACGUAUCACUCCACCAAAAGCCAGAGGUGGAAAUAGUGAAAGCGUUUUCUUUUCCUUCUUAAUAAAUUCCUCAUCUGUUCUUUUGACCUAAUGCAAUUGCUCUAAAAAUCAGUUUCAAAACCAGAAGUCAAAGAAUCAAGGAGAGAAAUUCACUUCAUGAUACUAAUGUAUUUUAGUUCUUGGAAAAGUUCUGCCCCUCAUAGCGACAGCAGAGGCCCAAAUUCAGAUGAGGCCCUACACGGGGUCAGCAUGGGGUGGGGUGAGAGGUGUGAGUCCAUGGUGGGUCUGACCUCAGCUAAGGGUCAGACCUGCUUGGUGCAUGUAAUGGGAUUUGGGACAGCGGGAGUUCAAUGGUGCCAGGUGAAAGUCCCCAGGUGGGACACAAGGUAGUGUCUGCACUUUCCCCAGUUUCUGUAAAACUUGAGGCAGAGCCAGGGGCAGGAGGGUCCUGGUCCUCUCUUCAUGAAGCCUCAGGUAGCUCUUCACGAUGUGGGGACGUCUCAUCCAGGAACCAGGGGUGACACAGCACACGGGGCCCAUCCAGGCUGCCUGUACCCAGGACAAGAGGAGUGCCCACAGGACAUACUGAGACAGCUGUCCCCCCUCUUGAGUGACACGUGAUUACAUCUGGGGCCCAUGUGUUGUAUAGUGACAUCCUAAACCUUUAUUAUCUACUAAAAAACCUGACUACAGUCCUCAUAGUCAAAAUAGCCCCCUCUCCUUCACCACUGUUCAGUAGGAUAAACACAGACAGGAGGCCAAAGAACCUGCUAGAAUCUCUCAUGUUGCAAGGGGCUGGGCCAGGACCAGGGAGGACACCUGAUCAGAGGGCAGGUGAGAGUGAGAGCCAGGCAGGCCUUGGAGGAGUGUUUGUUCACCAUUCUUCUGUGUCAUCUGAGUCACUGCCAAGCACUCCCACUGCCACAUUAUGUAGUACAGAAAUGAUCAGUCUUGUCGGGCCCUCCGGGGGGCCCUUGGGGGGGGCGUGUCCCUAAGUUCCAUCCUCAGAAUCACAUUUGGAACCGCUCGUAUCUGCACGUAUAUCCAGCUCAUGGACCUGGUUUGAAUUUUGCUGGUACCAAGAUGCAUGUUCACGCAUUAACUUAUCUUCAGAGCUGGGGAUCCUGUACCUGACCAGGGCCUGUGACACAGGGGGAGUCCACUUCAUGUCAGGAGAGACACAGAGUCUGUAAGAGAGGAGAGGAGAGGGGCCUGGAGAAAGAAAGGGAGGCUGGGUCAGUAUGGACUCAUCCCAGCCCUAACCAGGGUAGCAACGUGGACAGGGGUGAGGGCAGGGCCCCAUCUCCACAGGCCCUGGAUGGGAGACAGCAGGGUAUCUGUGCCUCACACUGUGCCUCCCUGUGGGCCUCUCACCUGUGCUGGGAGCAGGGGAGGAGGCGUGAAGCCACGCAGAGUGUGGUCCUGGGAGGAUCAGCACCACAGGGCCCUGGGAGCUGUUCCGCAUGCAGAUGCCCGGACCCCACCCCGACCUGCUGCAGCUGCAUCUUGCGGAGACCCCCCCCUCCUCAGGGGACUGUGUGCUCACUGAGCAUCGCAGUCUAGGGGUCUAGGCCACCAUGGAAAAUGUCACUUCCUCUCCUGGUCUCCCCAGGUCCUUUCUGGCCACCUGGAACAUGGGGCUUAACUGUCCUGACCUGGUCAAGCAAGUUCGAUUCAAGGGCUAGUCCCUGUAGUGAUGUGGAAGGAAUGAUUUAAGAUUAGACUCUUUUCACCAGCCACAUGGAGUGUGUGCUGUGGGUGGGGUGAUAUCUCUGGGAAUAUGGUCUGCACAGCUCUGGAGGCAGGCAGUGUGCCUUGUCUGCUUUAGGCACCUCCUGGGGUGAAUCAUCAGGAAAUGUGGGGGGCACUUCCUGUGGUAAUUCACGGUGAUUAUCAUGGGGAGUUGCAUUUCUAGUGCACAACUGGGGCAAGAAGGAGUGUGUAUGGAUUCAGAAGAUCCCCUAAUAUUCCCUGGGUCUGCAUUAUAGUCAUCAACGCACCACAACCCAAUUCAGCAGGUCUGACGAUCGACUAACUUUCUUGAAUGAAGGCUUAGUUGUGCUAACUGGCUGGGAUGUUUGCUGUGGAAAGAGGGAUAUCGAGUGCGUGGUGACGAAGGUAGUUAUAGACACCACUCUAACCACAGGGUAGCUGUAGAAAUGAACAGGAUAAAAGGAACAAGUGUUUCUUCCUUACGUUGUAGGAAUGUGUUUGGAUAUACAGUAAUCGUAUGUGUUCAUUUUCUUCUCUGUGUCGUCUCAUUAUCAUCUAACAUCAAAUGUGUGAACAGUAUGUAACUUUAUAUCUCAAUAUUGAAGUUAUAGGAUAGCAAAUCGUCUAGGACAAAAAUAAAUAUCCCUAGCAGACAAAAGUGUAUUUCCUAUCCUGUUUAGGGGGCAGGGUGAGCAUAUAUGUGGUUGUCAUGGGAUAGUUUCAUCAUAUCAGGUGGACCAUGGUUACUGAUAUUCCCUACAUCUACAGACUUGGUUUGCGUGCAUCUGGGUGGAUUUCAUGUGGACAGGGGUUGACUGUGGUGGCGUAUUAAGUGUCAGGCUGAACUGUAUUUCACAGAAAUGUUUUCUGUCUAUAUUUCUGGUUAGGGUGGGUAUAAAGAGAGAUUCCUGUGCAUGAUUUGGGGGGUGGAAGUGAGGCAGCACCCAUUUUGUGUCUCACUCCCAUGGUUGUGUAUCUUCUGGUCACUUUGUAGAAGGAGGCAACCGCCCCAAUGUCCCCCAUUCACCCGCAGGAUGGAUGUGGCUCUCUUACUGUCUGUUAAAACCCAGAGCAUCUAGUGUGUGCAUCUUUUCUCAUUGUUUAAAAUGUUUCUCAUUGUUAAAAAUACAAGAAACAAUCCUAUCUGUCUGGAGACUGGACAUGCAUACUGGGUUUUGUAGAAGAAAGCCCAACUUUGUGUGUAUAUAGUGGCCUCCUCAGGUCUCUCAGGACCGUGUCUGGGAUGCCAGCCAUCCUGGAUUGGGUUCCUGGAAGGAGACUCUGAGAUGAAGAAGUGCAUGUGUAAGAAAUUGGAAGAAGUGAAGCCAGACUGGGGAGUAGAAGAGCGACCCACAUGGUGUGGAACAUCAGAUGAGGCCUCAUUCCUGCAGGGAGCUCUAAAAUGGGGACCCUUUAGGACAUUGGAACUGAGGCAGGGCCUUGGAUCUAGGCUUCAAGAGAUCAUUUGAACCUCUCUGAGAAGGGCCAUAUCCUAAGGAGUCAGUUUCUGAACCAAGAGCACUUCCCAGGGAGGAUCACCCCUAUGAGCUGUCAGGGGCUCCAGGCAGCAAUGGGUGGGGACGUGAGCCCAGAAGGGGGGAUGUGGGUAAUGCCCCAGUGUCUACUGCACCCGUCUGCUCCACUCAGGUAGAGUUAGGUGCACUCAUGGCAUCAGGGCUUCAAGACCUCAGGUGAGCUGGGAAAUUUGGGGCUCUAAUUUUGGUCAGUUGCAUGAGCAGUAGCCCACGACCACCCCAUGGAAAUGCAGAGAUGAUGACCACUGGACAAAAGUCUCUUGUGUCUUUUCUCCCCCUAUGCUGUGACCUCAGUUCAGUCCCAGGCCCAGAGAACCAGGGAAGCCUAGUGUUGUCAGCUAUACAUAUGUUCUGUGACCAUCCCUGUCCUAGAGGGCUGUGAGGGAGGGGGCAACCUGGGGACCUCAGCUCCAGGAACUUUGACCAGACCCACUCUGCUUUGUCCCCAAGCCUCCAGGGGAUGGAGGAGAGUGUGACACAGAUGGGGAAAGAGUUUGUGUCUCACUUCCCCAUCUGCCUGUAUCACUGUGAGCAUCACUAUUGCCACCCCACACCUGACAGUAAUAGUUGGCCUCGUCCUCGGCCUGGGCCCCGCUGAUGGUCAGGGUGGCCGUGUUCCCCGAGUUGGUGCCUGAGAAUCGGUCAGGGGUCCUUGAGGACCUUUUGCUAUCAUCAUAGAUAAUCAUCACCGGGGCCCGGCCUGGCUUCUGCUGGUACCAGUAAGCAUAUUUACUUCCAAUGUUGUUUCCUCCACACGUGAUCCUGGCCGUCUUUCCCAGGUUGACUGACACUGACGGGGGCUGAGUCAGCACAUAGGAGGCCACGGAGCCUGCAAGAGAGAAGGUGAGAGGUGGGUUUCCAGCCUGGGGUGUCAUCCCCUGAACACUCCCACCUGCCUGGCUUAAGCUCCAGUGAUUCUCUAGGCCCCAGUGUCCACUCUGCUGUCAUCUUAGUCCCUGGGGCCCAUGGGCCCGCCUAGUGGAUGGAGCCUUUGAACAAGUGAGAACCAUCCCCCUCUCCUUUCCCUGGGCAGGUGCAGCCCUUCAGGGCUCACACAGAUCAGUGAGCACAGUGGGGGGCUAUCACCCCACCAGCCCCCCAUCCCACAGCAGGGUCUUGAGCAUCCUGUCCCCACUGAGACUCCCCUGCUGAGCUCAGAGUCAGGACCAGGCUUGUCCCGGAACCCUGGGCCUGGGGUGGGUGUGAGCCUGGGCACAGCACCUGUGCAGUGAGCGAGGAGGCCGAGGAGGAGAGGGAUCCAGGCCAUGGUGGAGGUGCCUCGAUUCUGUUCCCUGAGGUCCCGAGGCUGGGCAGGGUUCCUCCCAGGCCUGACUUAUCCCCUUGCUGGAGACACCUGCUGUUCAUGCAAAUCAGCCAGGGCUCAGGGGAUGCUGCUGAGGAGCCUCGUGGCUUCAGAAAUGGGCUCAGCCCCAAGGGACACAGAGAUGGGAGGGGCAGCCCCUGCACACCCACCCUCAGCCCAAAGGAUAUGCUUCACCCUGUGAUCCCAUAGUCUGGGGCCCACACUCCAUCCCUCUCCCUGUCCUUGCCUGGCUCCUGAGUGGGUGUCAACACAGCAGAGUUCAAGGAUGGAAUCUGUCUACAUUUUGUUUCUGUCUUUUUUAUUCUAGAUUUUCUUAUUUAUUGAGAGAGAGAAAGAGGGAGAGAGAGCACACAUCAGCAGGGGAGGUGCAGAGAGAGGGGGAGAGAGAGAGAGAUAACAGAGAGACAGAAUCCCAAGCAGGCUCAACCUACAAACAUGAAGCUGAUGCAGGCAGGGCUUGGCCUCGUGAAUUGUGAGAUUCUGACCUGAGCCAAAAUCAAGAGUUGGGUGGUCAACCGACUGAGCUAUCCAGGCACCUCUGUCUGUCUUUUAUGAACCCACUACAGAAUGUUUACUCUCUAGGUGACUGGGGGAACUUAGGUCAACGCAGUGUGCUACCCCAGGUCUAGGUUGAGGAACUUCAGAACUUGAAGAAAUUCCUCCCUUGUCAAGUGCACAUGGAGUUUCAACGAGCUAUUGAAGUUCUGUAGGACUGUAUCCUGAGGGAGAGCUCCUGGGGUAGGCCAUCGAUGCUGUGCCUCAGUAUGCCUAGGGGGCUCUCAAUGCCAGAGGCAGACCCACCUUGAACAAGGUUGGACAGUGGCUGAGUUAAGCAGCUGUGGGCCGGGCUGGAGAGGCAGGAAUUGCUGGAUCUGUGCUAGAGACAGGAGCACAUUGUACAGGAGACAGAUCUGAGAGACACUGAACCAGUAGCUUACACCAGAGUCAAAGGUGAUGCCAUAGACAACCUACACUUUUCAGUCAAGUCUCAUGACUAACCCUCCCUGCAUAUGCCCUGUUGCCCAGACCCUCCCCAUGUGCAGGGGGCUUUGCCGGGUGAUCUCUGCUGCCCCCUGGUGGCCGCUCCACUUGACCGCCCGAGGCCCAGUGAAAUCCUUUUUCCGGGGGGAGAUUCAGAACCCAGUGCUCAGAUCCUGAUUUCCUGAUCCGUGGACUGCUGACCCCAGGGAAGGAAUUCCUCUUCUCUGCGGGGCCUCUGUCAGCCUCAAGACCAGGCAGGAGGAGGUCAGGUUAUCCAUGCAAGUAGGAAGAGGCUCAUGUGAGGAGGAGGAGGAGGCAGGGCCCAUCUGCGGUAUCACUGCUCCUGUCUCUGGGGAGGUGGGUGGCCGUGGGAGUGGUUCUGAGGCGUGACACAAAGCUACACAGAAGCCAGGGACUGCCUCUAACUGGCACUGGCUGCUGGUGUCGCCAAUAGUGUGAUGAUGGCUACUGCUCCCAAGACAGAGGAAAACACUCGUCCAACAAACACUAAUUCAGAUCCGCUUAGUCUGGGACACAUUGCAUCCUGGGAAAUCAGUGUGAACAGGACACGGGCCCUGGGUCAGAGUUUCCAUCUUUGGACUGCUGCAGCAGAGUGGAAGUCUUGCUUUGUUGGUACCGGAGACAGUCUCCAACCUCUCCUACUUGUAUCUCGUCUUCCAUAUUCAUUUAGAAACCACACUAUUGCUAUUGUCAAGUCUCUCUUGAGACGUCAAGAUUGGCCCUGUGGCCAAGAAUUGGCCCCUUGAAUGUAUCAUUUGGGUGGGGAUCUUUUAGGGGACUUUUACUCUUGUGAGGGAAGAAACAGAGUAGAAUUAUGCAGUGUUCUCUCCCUGUACUUGGUUGUGAUAGCUGGAGCUGCAGCAGCCAUCUGAGGUCUGUUGUCAACAGCAAUAAAAACAAAGCCUCCGUUGUCGUGAUGGUGGGGCCAAAAGUGAGCAGACAUGGAGAUUAAAAGAACACCUGACUGGGGCGCCUGGGUGGCUCAGUCGGUUAAGCCUCCGAUUUCAGCUCAGGUCACGAUCUCGCGGUCCGUGAGUUCGAGCCCCGCGUCGGGCUCUGGGCUGAUGGCUCAGAGCCUGGGGCCUGCUUCCAGUUCUGUGUCUCCCUCUCUCUCUGCCCCUCCCCCAUUCAUGCUCUGUCUCUCUCUGUCUCAAAAAUAAAUAAAUGUUAAAAAAAAAUUAAAAAAAAAAAAGAACACCUGACUGAAGAAUGAAUGGGUUAAAUAGGAAAUUAAAAGAAUAAAUUAAAAAAAAAUACAUGGAAGCAAAUGAAAAUGAAAACACAACAGUCCAAAACCUUUGGGAUGGAGCAAAGGCAGUCCUAAGAGGGAAGUAUAUUGCAAUACAGGUCUUCCUCAGGAAGCAAGAAGAGUUGCAAAUACACAAAGUAACCUUACACCUUAAGGAGCUAGAAAAAUGAACAACAAAUGAAGCCUAAAGCCAGCGAAGAAAAAUAAUAAAUAUUAGAGCAGAAAAAUAUGAUCUAGAAACAAGCUAACAAAAAAAGUAGAGUAGAUCAAUGAAACUAAGAGCUGGUUCUUUGAAAGAAUUAAUAAAACUGAGAGGCCUCUAGCCACACUUACCAAAAAGAAAAGAGAAAUGACUCAACUAAAUAAAAUCACAAAUGAAAGAGGAGAGAUCACAACCAAUACCACAUAAGUACAAACAAUUAUUAAGAGAACAUUAUGAAAAAUUAUAUGCCAACAAACUGAGCAAUAUGGAGAAAUGGACAAUUUCCUAGAAACAUGCAAACUACAAAAACAGGAAGAAGUAGAUAAUUAGAACAGACCUAUAUCCAGCAAAGAAAUUUAAUCAGUAAUCAAAAUCUCCCAACAAACAAAAGUCCAGGGCCAGAAAGCUUCCCAGGGGAAUUCUUCCAGACAUUUAAAGAAGAGUUAAUACAUAUUUUUCUCAAACUGUUCCAGAAAAUAGAAAUGGAAGGAGAACUUGAUACUCUUUCUACAAGGCCAGCAUUACAUUGAUUCCAAAACCAGAGAAAGACCCCACUAAAAAGGGGAAUUACAGGCCAAUAUCCCUGAUUAACAUGGCUACAAAAUUUCUCAAGAAGAUACUAGCAAACCAAAUCAAACAGUACAUUAAAAAAAUUAUUCACCACGAUCAAGUGAGAUUUAUUCGUAGGUUCCAGAAAUGGUUCAAUAUUCACAAAUCAAUCAACAUGAGACACCACCUUAAUAAAUGGAAGGGUAAGAACCAUAUGAUCCUCUCAAUAGGUGCAGAAAAAAUAUUUGACAAAAUACACCAUCUGUUCUUGAUAAAAUCCUCGUCGAAGUUGAUGGAACAUACCUUGACAUCAUAAAGGCCGUAUGCGAAAGGGAUUGUGAAAAAAAAAUUAAGUACAUUAAUGUAUGACAAAGACUGAGCUUUUAAACACAGUGAACAACAGUCAGGUAUGCCAGACAUGGGUUGCCAUGCUAAAACUGGUAAAGUGAAGGUGGUACCCUAUCAUGUCUCUUGAACUCAAGCCCUGUUUCAAUUAGGAGUCCAACAAAUUCUUGAACAGACACUUAAUGUGAUGUGUACAUACCAAUUCAGUAUAAAUGGAAAUCUAGCUAACAUUUGAGGGGACAGCUAAGGACAUCAGAUAUCCUUUAGAAUUCCAGAGGAUGUAUGGAAUGACCCACAAAAUAUCCCUUGUGCAACAGAGGAGCCAUUUUGGAAAGCACCCAUUCUAAUGAGGGGACAGAAACAUGCUGGGUGGUUUCUAGGAUAGGGGUUCAGGCAUCUGAGCAGAGGGGGUUCAGACAUCUAACUGAGCUCAAUGUGUGUCAUAUUCCUGGAUGAAAUCUCUUGGAUAUGGGGUCAAGGAUGAGGAACUCUAGACAGAAAAAUAAUGUAUUUUGGUCAUCAUUCCCUAGGCAAUAUCAUCUGAUGUUUUUUCAGAUGCUUUUGCUUCAACACAAGAAUAACCCUGCAAGGAGGGCCAUUUUGAUUAUAGCAUGGUGGAGUAGAGAAUAAGUCAAUGACAAUUUACAUGACCUAAGUAUAAGCUUGUCUGCACUGGUGUGGGAGAUGGGAUGGAGGCAUUUAAAGUGAGGAUUCUCCUGACAGUUAUGGAAAUUGCACUGAGUAGGCAUUUCCUUGUGCCUCUGUUCUUUGUGGAGAAGUUGGAAAGAGCUACCUUCUGGAGCUGUAACAUACAGGCAAAGAGGAAGCUGUGACUGUCCCCAGACAAUUCAACAGAGAGUAUUUCUAUUGAUCACAGGGACUUGGACAUUCUUCAUCCUGCCCCUUAGUGCAUAUUGAGAAGAUCUCCCCUCGGAGCUGUGUGUCAUCUUGAAAUACAGCCUCUUCAUCCACAAAAGGAUUUUUGACCUUGUGUGUUUCCUAAAGAGAUGGGUUUAGGGCAAAGACUCUAAUCAGGGCUGACUACUCUUUGCCAGAAUGGUAAUGGAAAUGCCCACUCAGAAAAUGGACAUAUUUCUAUAGAGUGUGAAUGUUCUUAUGAAACUAUUUUAGUGUCCUUGUUCAUACCCUAUGAAGGACAUUUAAAGAACACAAGAAAAGUGAUGCCCUGGCCAGAGAUAGAAAGAAAUAACUGGUGGAUAUGGGAUUGAGGGAAAGAGAAUGUGUAGUAGGAGGAAGUGAUAGCUAGCUGUUUUAUUUGAAAUGAUUGUUCAUGUGUGUUUUCAGCAUGUAUGUACUAUAUUACUCCAGAAUGAAUCUAGAUAAUAAUGUCUAUUCCUCAUAUAGUAAUAAAAUGGUAACCUGUUAAUGACAUUCUCAUAAAUCCAUCAUUUAGUUCUGGGGUUGAGUGAGUGGUCUUAUAGAUUGGGUCCUUGCCUCCUGAGAUCACUAGAAAGGUUUCCUGGGAACAGUCGGAGCCACCUUUUCUUCUGCCCCAUGCUCUAUUAGUACAAAGAGCAAACUCAGGUCCCCAUGGUGCAGGAAACACUAUAUUUUUUAAUUAUUCUGGGUUCUUUUGACCACACAAUAAGGCAUAAUAUUCAAAUAAGUGGCAAGAGUAUCUCCAAUGACCAUUUGAACAUAAUAUGAUUAAUGACCAAUAAAGCUAAAGCAAAUAAACCAAAAAUACACAAAUAUCAAUCCCUAAAUCCUUAUCAUUCAGGUUUAAUGAAACAAGAUAGUUCCAUAACUAUAGAAAGUGAGUGGAAAAAGAAAGAUAAAAUUACCAGAACAGAUGCAAUGUAAAAUGAGUGGCACUUAACUCAGGUAUUCUAUGGACUCAUGAAUGUUCUUGCCCUAAGGUGCUGAUUCCCUAUUUGCAUUGACCAGAAAAACACUAGUAGAUACUCUGAUUAUAGAAAAACCUGGUUAUUUCACAUUGACUCUAUUAAAAGUAACAAUUUUCUCAUCUUUUUAUAAAAAUAUUGAACCCUAGAGACAACACUAGAGGCUUUUCCUAUACCUCGAGACUCAUAUACACAAGACACAAAGGGCUUUGUAGCUCUAGAAAUUUCAUAUUGGAAGCAAUCCUGUUCACUCAACAUCUAGCUUCUAUAUUUCUUGGUAAUGGUUCCUACUCUAAACAUAAUAACUACCUUCUCCAGAGGAAAUGGUGGUCUCACCUUAAAAGGAGACACACUAGGGGCGCCUGGGUGGCUCAGUCGGUUGAGCGACCGACUUCAGCUCAGGUCAUGACCUCACGGUUUGUAAGUUCGAGCCCUGCGUCGGGCUCUGUGCUGACAGCUCAGAGCCUGGAGCCUGCUUUGGAUUCUGUGUCUCCCUCUCUCUCUGCCCCUCCCCCACUUGUGCUCUGUCUCUCUCAAAAAUAAAUUUAAAAAUGUAAUAAAAAAAAAAAAGGAGGCACGCUAGUAGAGGCAAUGGUCACACCUGCCUUCCUAUGCAUUAGCAGAUACUUUAUAAAAAGGACACUGAUGCUAUUUGAGUCAGGAAGAAUUUCUCAUAACAGUUGCUUUAGAAACUCACAAGACAAUGGCCCCUUCGGAGAGGCCUAAUUCCUACAGAAUUUCCACAUGAGGACACAUACCCUAAAGUCAAGCACAGCCUCUGAUCGCCUUACACAAACAUGAAGCUGUGAUUCAGGAAGUUAUUCUGUGCCUCUAUUAGCACAUGCCACAUUGCAGAGUACUUUAACCCACUGCUAGUAAUCAAGGUGUGUUGCUCUUCCAGUCUAGAUGACUUAAGUAUGAAGGUACUGAUCAUUUAUCAGGGAAAGAGAGAAGGUACUGAAACAGAUUUUGAAAAUAAUUCAUAGAAGAACAUUAUGGGAGAGAGAGAUUAGGAUCUAUGCUAAACUGAACAUCCAUCCCCAUUUGCCCAUGAAUGAGGUCAUUGCCAGGAUGUGGCACUUCCAGUGCUUAACAUGGAAAGUUCUGCUCAACCGGGAAGAGACUUGGUCCUGACCAGGGUUCUGGAGACCAUGCUCAGGUUCAUUCAAUGCAUGAAGAAUUCUUGGCCAUCAUUUUUGUAUAUGUGUUGUUUUGCAAUUUUUAUCAUUGGCAUUUCACCCAGAAAUUGGGUUUAUAACCCAUGGAAAUCAGAUGUUUUGGGGACCUCUGUGACAUGGGGACAUGCAUACUAGAUAACUCUUCCUUGUGGAACAAAGGAGCCAUUUUGGAAAGAGCCUACCCUGGGGGCAGACAGUCCACAUGCAGGGCUGCUGCCAGGACAGGGGCUCAUUGAUUUCAGGGGAGGGAAGAUUCUACCUGUCACAGAGUCUCAAAUCAUAUUCUCUCCUGUUCAGAUUCCUUGGAUGUGGAGUUAAAGAUGAAGGGACAUUGGGGAAGAAAACCCUUCCCUUUAUCUUCAUUCCCUCAGCUAUGUCUUAGAUCUUUUCUCAGGUACUUCAGUCACUGACAUGCUGAAGAAUGGCUCACCAAGGAGGCUCAUGUUGGCUAGGGCAAGGUAGAAACAACUGAAAAAUGUCUUAUAUUUCAAUCCUUAAAUGUGAGUUAUCCAUACAAUGGGAUAUAUUUUGGUAGUAAAAGUAACUAAAUACUAGUACAUGCUACAACAUGGAUGCACCUUGAAAACAUCAUUCCGAGUGAAAAAAGUCAUUCCCAAAAGAUGUCCUAUUGUGCAAUUCCAUUUAUAUGAAAUGUUCAAACUGGGGAUGCUAUGGGGACAGAGUGUAGAUCAUUGAUUACCAGAGGCUGAGCAAAUUGGUGGGAAAUGGAAGAUGAAUGCCAAUAGUUACAGUGUUUCUUUUUAGGACAAUAGAAAUGUGAUAGCAGUGAUGUCUUCUCAAUUUGGAGAAUAUACUAAGAGCCAUUGUUUUAAACUUGUGAGUUGUAUGCUACCUAAAUAUAACUGAAAAAAACCCUUACCGCACCCCCUGCCCAAUAAACCAAAAAAGAGAAAGUUGGAAACUGGAUUUAAUAAGACAACAUCAAUUCUGGAAAACUGAAUUCAAGCCAGGCUGCACUGGUGUGUGAGAUGGACCCAUUUAAAGUGAGGAUUCCCUGGGAAUUGCAGGAAGUGCACUGCACAGGCACUUCCUGGUCCUUAGUUCCCGCCAUUGCAGAGUUGGAAAGAAUCACUUUCUAGGACCAUAUCAAAGAAGCAAAUAGGCUCUGUCAUUUCCCAGACAAUUUGGCAGAAUGUGUUUCAUUUUACUUUAUCUUGAGAAGGAAGAGGAACAGAGACCUGAAUUCUCAAGACCAUGCUGCAUGAAGUCCCCUCUGCACAGGGUUGGAAGCAUCUUCAGAGCAAGGAGGAGCCUGUGAGUACAGAGAAGGUUUUGGUCUCACUUCCCCAUAAACUUGAACCACUGUGGAGAGUAUUACUACUAGCAUAUGAGCAACAGUAAUAAUCAGCCUCAUCUUCAGCCUGGAGCCCAGAGAUGGUCAAGGAGGCCGUGUUGCCAGACUUGGAGCCAGAGAAGCGAUCAGGGAUCCCUGAAGGCCGGGAAUUUACUCUAUAAAUCAGGAGUUUGGGGGAUGUGCCUUCGAGCUGUUGGUACCAGGAGACGUAAUUAUAUCUCCCAAUGUCAUUGCUGCUGCCAGCACAGGAGAUGGUGACUGUGCGUCCCAGAUCCCCCGACACUGAGGGAGGCUGAUUCAGGGCAGACUGGGCCCAGGACCCUGAAAAGAGAAAGAACAUAUUCUAGUGAGUUCAGUGCUGGGGGCCCAAGUGAGUCUGAAGAGCAGACAAAGAUCAGUCCAGAUGUCCCUGUGGACUCCUCCUUGAAGGCCGCACCUGUGUCCUGAGUGAGGAGACUGAGGAAGACCAGAGCCCAGGCCAUGGUGCAGAUGCCCCAACAGCACUGCCUUCUGAGACCCCAACCCUGGGCCUGGCUCCCCAAGACCUCUCUUAUCCCCUUCCCCUUGUUCAGAGGAGGGAGGGGCCUCCAUGCAAAUGUGCUUCCUGCACCUGCCUCUCCUCAACCCUCUGACCUGGCUCUUUAUUCUAGAUACUUUUGCAUCCCUGGGCAGCAGAGCUUACUCAGGACUUAAAAAUCUUUAACAUAUUAUCAGUCAGGUCAUACUGAGCUCAUGACAGUGCCCUGGAAAUAGAUCCAACCCAUAGAUAUCCUUACAUUUCCUGUGAUGAGAAUCCGGUGGUUCCUAAGUAAGGAAUCCCAGGGCUUCUCCUCCAGAUGUGUGACUCAGCUGUGGGGCCAGGAUGACAAGCCGGCUGAAUGAGAUCCAACUGCUCCGUUUCCUGGGCCUAAAGGUGGAGUUGGGGGCCAUGAUUCCCCCUCACCACCUUUUUAUGCCCUCAGGAUGGGUCCUCAUGCAUCACUCCAUCCUAUGUCUCUGUGGUGGUUUGAGACUGAGGCUGUGGCUGAAACCUGGGUUGUUUUUCAGCACUUUGAGAAGAUGAUAUUGGGGAGGACAACACUUUGAGGCCUCAGAGGGGCUCAGUGGGAAGGAACUCUUUACAUUUCAUAUGGACAGCUUAAGUCACAGAAAAUCCCUUCUCUAAAUCCAGGCCCUCGCUGCCCCCCGAAGGUGCAUUGCAGGCACCAGGGAAGGGAAGGCAGCUGAAAAUCCCUCCUCUCCUCCCACUGUGGUCUUCCCUCCCCCACCCAACUCAGUACCACACCCCCUGAUCCUUUCUAUUCCCUGGUAGCACAUUUCCUUUGGUCCAGGAACUUUCUCCAGAAUGGAAUGUGCCAUCUGCCACACCAGGUGGCCCACCGCUCACCUCACGACUAUUCAGCAUGUCCCACCACAGCUUUGGCUUAGGAGUUUGCUUGUGAGGCAUCUCUGGGCUCAGGGAGGAGUCAACAUUAUAUGUUAAAGAAACAAACCCCAGUAGAAAGGCUGAGUGAGAAAAAUGAGAACAGGUAAAGAUAGAUUGGCUUCUCAAAAUGUAGGGGAAAAAAAAUACUGUCUAAAGAAGAGAAAGCUCUGUAGGAUUGAAAGCCACCUAGUGGAAAGCAGAAGGUGAAUUCUACUGUUUGAGGACGUGGGAAAAGGGAAUGGGGUCAGGUUUGGCCUGAGGGCCCAGCUCCAGGGAUCUCUCCUCAGGGCACGUUUUAGUGUCACAGGGAAUAUGGGACUUUCUUCCUAAUGUCCUCUUUGUGCACAUUGAGAAAGCCCCACUUCCAAGAUAUCCACCUUCCUGAGGUAAAGUUUCUUCCAUAGACAGAGAGUUGCUUAGUCUAGUAGUGCUUUCUAGAAAAGAAUCAGUUUGGGGUAAAAACUCUAAGCAAAACUGACUAAAACUCAUGUAUAAACUAUGGAAAAUCCUCACCUCAAUUCUCUUUUCAUUUAGAAAACACUCACCCUCUUCACAAGGCUUUCCGUCAUGAUGUGAUCUAUCUGCUGUCCCCACAGCUUCCCAUGCAUCUCCCUGCUCUGAGUCUCCAGUCAACCAUUGCCCAGCCCACUAGAUUUCUUUCCGUUUUUCAUUGGCCAUAGUCCCUCUACCUCAGCACCUUUACACAGGCUACUCCUCUGCCUGAAAUGCCCAUAUCUUUAUACCUCACAUGUCUGGAUCUUUCUGAGGACACAGAAAUGUGCCCCAACAGCCCAGUUAGUAAUCCUAUUCGUGGAAUGAACUAAGUGGGGAAGUUGAGCUAAGGUAUUUGCCCAAAGAGUUUCCAGCUGCAUUCAGGCAAGUUACAAAAAAAUAUUCCCAGCCAGGUCUGAGGAGAAGGCCACAAAAUAGAACUGUAGUUUUGUUAUAUGUCACCCUGGCAAAUGCCACACUUGGUGUUGUGCUUUUACUCUCUUGGUUUCUCUCUGCAGUCACCCAUGGCUUGGAGGAAGGGAGGGGCAGAGGACCUGCUCUUUCCCACGUUACCCCUUCCCGGAAAACACAAUUCUGGCUGCACAGAAGGCUGAAGACUUUUUCAUCCCUGCUCUGAAUGAAGAGGAUGAGCAAAGGCUUCCAGUCGAACUGAGCUCUAGUAGCCCCUUUUCCAGAAACCAAAACCUGGCUGGGAACAUGGCAUUCCCUUUCCACCUCUCCUUAGGGUCUGCCUCUGAGGUCUGCCUUCCUCUUAGAAGGACACUCAUGAUUACAUUCUCGAGCACCAGAUAAUCCAAGAUAACGUGCCUUGACUUUCUGUUAGUCAGGGUUCUCCAGAGGAGCAGAACCAAUAGGAGAUACAUAGAUCCACAUACAUAUAUGAUUAUGUGAUUCUGGAGGUUGGGAAGUUCCACAAUCUGCAAGCUUGGAGACCCAGGGAAGCUGUUGGUGUGAUUCAGUCUGAGGCUGAAGAUUGGAGAACCAGAAAUGCCGAUGUUGCAAAUCCCAGUCCGAGAACAGAAAAAGAUGGUGUAAGAUGUUCCAGCUCAAUAGUGAGACAGGAAAAAAUAAAAGUCAAGUUCCUCCUUCCUCGGCCUUUUGUUCUAUUCAGGCCCUCAAUGGAUUGGAAGGUGCCCACCCAUGUGGGGGAGAGCAUCCCACUUUGCUGAGUCCACCAGUUCAAAUGCUAAUCCCUGGAAUUCAUCUGGAGACACCCUCACAGACAUACCAGAAAAUCAUGUUUAAUUUGGUCUCCCCAUGGCCAUUGAGGUCAGCAUGUAAAAUGAACUGACACAGUCCCUACAUCAAGAUCCUUAAUCACAUCUGCAAAGUGCCUUUUACCGUAGAGGUAACAUUCACAACUUCCAAAGGUUAGAACUGGAUAUCUUUGGGGGCUAGUACUCAGGCCACCACACCUACUGAGGUGCACGUGCAGGAAACACUCUGAGGGGCUGUUCUCAAUCUGUUUUGCACAGUCUUGCCCUAAUAUAUCCCAGAAACGGGAGCUCUCUGCAACCAAUGUUUAAAAGUUACUAUUAAACGGCCUGUCGUUUUCUUUAGCUAAUUCCAACACUCAGGGAAACCUGGGAGGCUAUUUGUACUGUUUGAGCCUCCACAAAGGGAGAACUCCAGGGAAAGAAAAGUUCCAGAAAUAC